CAAUAGCGUAUAUUAAAGUUGUUGCGGUAAAAAAGCUCGUAGUUGGAUUUCUACCGAAGAUAGCCGGUCGGGUCUUCGACCUUGUAUCUGGUUUUGUCUUUGGUAUCCUCAUAGGGAACGUUUCUGCGCUUUAUUGCGUGGUGCGGUAUCUAUGACUUUUACUUUGAGGAAAUUAGAGUGUUCACGGCAGGCAAACGCCUUGAAUAUAUUAGCAUGGAAUAAUAACAUAGGUUCUUCGUCCUAUUUUGUUGGUUUCUAGGGCUAAGAUAAUGAUUAAUAGGGAUAAUUGGGGGCAUCUGUAUCAACGCGUCAGAGGUGGAAUUCUUGGAUUGCGUUGCGACAAACUACUGCGAAAGCAUUUGCCAAGGAUGUUUUCAUUGA
rnacentral:rRNA from 1 species